rnacentral:rRNA from 1 species
GUGUCAGCAGCCGCGGUAAUACGUAGGGUGCGAGCGUUAAUCGGAAUUACUGGGCGUAAAGCGUGCGCAGGCGGUUUUGUAAGCCAGAUGUGAAAUCCCCGGGCUUAACCUGGGAAUGGCAUUUGGGACUGCAAGGCUUGAGUUUGGCAGAGGAGACUGGAAUUCCUGGUGUAGCAGUGAAAUGCGUAGAUAUCAGGAGGAAUACCGAUGGCGAAGGCAGGUCUCUGGGCUAGAACUGACGCUCAUGCACGAAAGCGUGGGGAGCAAACAGGAUUAGAAACCCGGGUAGUCC